UACAAGUACUCUUUGCCGCCCUGCCUAAGUCUCCCCACUGCUUAACAGUAACAGUUGAUUUUCUGGGGCCGAGUGGAGGCUGUGAGCUGCAAAAACUCCCAGAAGGCAGAUGGGAAGGAAGGGAGAGGUGGGGUUGGGUGGGACGGCAGGACGGGUCCCCCCGAUGGGGAUGGCGGACCGGGAUCUGGGCGGCUGUAGGAGGAUUUGUCCCGACUUGAAGCUCAUGGAAAAAACCGGAUGGAAAUGUGCCCCCUAAAUCCAGUGACAAGUGUCCUUAAGAGACGGACAGAGAACACACACUGAGGAGGUAUUGUGACCACGGAGGCAGAGAUUGGAGUGAAGCCACAAGUCGAGGAAUGCCAACAGCCACUGAAAGAACGGACUGUCUCCUACAGCCUCUGGGAGGAGCGCGGCCCUGCCCACACCACCUUGGGUUUGCACAUCUGAGGGCUUCCAGAACCUGAACUGUGAGAGAAUAACUUUCUGUUGCUUGAAGGCACCCGAUUCGCGUUCAUUUGUUAUGGCGGCCCUAGCAAAUAGGCCCUCAUUCUUUGGCAUCUAAUGGGUCACAAAAAUCCUGCUGGUUUCAACUCCUUAAGUAGCUCUAGUUUGGGGGGCGCCUGGGUGGCUCAGUGGGUUAAG